GCGUGGGAGACGGCUCGGUUGUAAUCUUGGAAAAGACGUCCUGAAUAGCCACGGUAACUCUGCCACGCCCGUACAGUGGCAGCUUACCGGAUUUAUUGGGUUUAGCGUAGGAUUAAGUCGGUUAAAGGUACACUACUGUACUGCACUGUACUGAGUUGAAGGCAUAGAACUCGUGUACGGUAAAUGCUUAAUACGAAGAAUACCGUGCAAGGUCUGGUGCGGGGAUCAAACAGGAUUAGAUACCCUGGUAGUCCGCACAGUAACGAUGUACUAGUGUUUGCAAGAAACCGAUAAGACACCUGGGGUCGCCGGCAACGGAAAAAGGAUGACGGGCGCAAGCGGUGGAUGGGUUAAUUCAUCAGAACUCGCUGAAGUGCGGUGAUGC
rnacentral:rRNA from 1 species